UACGUAGGGUGCAAGCGUUAAUCGGAAUUACUGGGCGUAAAGCGUGCGCAGGCGGUUUUGUAAGUCUGUCGUGAAAGCCCCGGGCUCAACCUGGGAAUUGCGAUGGAGACUGCAAGGCUUGAAUCUGGCAGAGGGGGGUAGAAUUCCACGUGUAGCAAUGAAAUGCGUAGAGAUGUGGAGGAACACCGAUGGCGAAGGCAGCCCCCUGGGUCAAGAUUGACGCUCAUGCACGAAAGCGUGGGGAGCAAACAGG
rnacentral:rRNA from 1 species